rnacentral:misc_RNA from 1 species
GCAAACUUGGUCAUUUAGAGGAAGUAAAAGUCGUAACAAGGUUUCCGUAGGUGAACCUGCGGAAGGAUCAUUAAUGAAUAAAUAUGGAACUAGAUUGUUGCUGGCUUUUAGAAGCAAGUGCACGUCUAUUCCGUCUUUAUCUAACCACCUGUGCACUAUGUGUAGAUCUGAAAGAUAUUCGAUUACGAGUCGGUCAAAAGAAUUGCUGUACAUUCAACAGCUUUUCUUUAUUUCACUUCAGAUCUAUGUUUUUUCAUAUACUCCAAAUGAAGUUAGAGAUUGAACUUUACAGGCCACGUGCCUUAUAAAAUUUAUACAACUUUCAACAACGGAUCUCUUGGCUCUCGCAUCGAUGAAGAACGCAGC